rnacentral:rRNA from 1 species
CCUACGGGUGGCAGCAGUCGAGAAUCAUUCACAAUGGGGGAAACCCUGAUGGUGCGACGCCGCGUGGGGGAAUGAAGGUCUUCGGAUUGUAAACCCCUGUCAUGUGGGAGCAAAUUAAAAAGAUAGUACCACAAGAGGAAGAGACGGCUAACUCUGUGCCAGCAGCCGCGGUAAUACAGAGGUCUCAAGCGUUGUUCGGAAUCACUGGGCGUAAGGCGUGCGUAGGCUGUUUCGUAAGUCGUGUGUGAAAGGCGCGGGCUUAACCCGCGGACGGCACAUGAGACGGCGAGACUAGAGUAAUGGAGGGGGAACCGGAAUUCUCGGUGUAGCAGUGAAAUGCGUAGAUAUCGAGAGGAACACUCGUGGCGAAGGCGGGUUCCUGGACAUUAACUGACGCUGAGGCACGAAGGCCAGGGGAGCGAAAGGGAUUAGAUACCCUGGUAGUC